rnacentral:rRNA from 1 species
UGAUCCAGAGUACCACGGGACACGUGAAACCCUGUGGGAAGCAGGAGGGACCAUCCUCCAAGGCUAAAUACUACCUAGUGACCGAUAGCGCAUAGUACCGUGAGGGAAAGGUGAAAAGAACCCCGGGAGGGGAGUGAAAUAGAACCUGAAACCCUACACUUACAAGCUGUGGGAGCACAUUAUUAGUGUGACCGCGUACUUUUUGUAGAACGGGCCAACGAGUUACGUUAAGUAGCAAGGUUAAGCACUUAAGGUGUGGAGCCGUAGCGAAAGCGAGUUUUAAAUGAGCGAGUAGUUACUUGACGUAGACCCGAAACCGGGCGACCUACCCAUGAGCAGGAUGAAGCGAAAGUAAAAUUUCGUGGAGGUCCGAACCCACGAGCGUUGAAAAGCUCGGGGAUGACUUGUGGGUAGCGGUGAAAUUCCAAUCGAGCCCGGAGAUAGCUGGUUCUCCCCGAAAUAGCUUUAGGGCUAGCCUCAAGCGUAGAGAAACGGAGGUAGAGCACUGAAUGUCCUAGGGGGUAUUGCACUUACCGAAGACUAUCAAACUCCGAAUGCCGUAUUCUUUUACUUGGGAGUCAGACUGUGGGUGAUAAGAUUCAUAGUCAAGAGGGCAACAGCCCAGAUCGUCAGCUAAGGUCCCUAAAUGUAAGUUAAGUGGUAAAGGAUGUGGGAUUGCACAGACAACCAGGAUGUUGGCUUAGAAGCAGCCACUCAUUUAAAGAGUGCGUAAUAGCUCACUGGUCGAGUGAUCCUGCGCCGAAAAUUUCCGGGGCUAAAACUUACUACCGAAGCUACGAUAUCA